UACAGUGUGGUUUAAUGGUUUGAGAACUGGACUAGCACUCCAGGAGACCAGAGUUUGAAUCCCUGCUCAGCCA